rnacentral:tRNA from 70 species
AAGAAUAGUAGGGGGGC